GCACACACGUUCUGCUUGUACCUUUAAAUUUCAGUACAAAGACAAGCAGCCGAAUCUUCGCGCUGCCUCGCAAUAAGUGCAAUUGGUUGUACAUCAGUGUGUCUCAAGACUCAAUAAAAGUGGACAUCUCGAAGAUAAAGUCAGUGUCGUCUUCAGUUGCUCAAGCCCAGAGAUUUGGCUUCCUUCGCGCAAAUGCCGCUCCAACCAUCGGCUUCCCCGUACAUUCCCUGAGACUCGGAGGCCCUCGCUCACCGACAAACCCCGCACCAGAUAUUCUUUUACGUCCUUCCGCAUACCCAAAAAUAUGUCUCAAGUUGUAACCGCACGCGAACAGGGCCCGCUACUGGGUUUGAACCCGCGGCUACUUCAGUUGAGCGACGUGUGCGGAAGUGGCGCGUACAACGUGGGACCCGAAGAAGCGGUGGAGCUGUGAACAAGUCGCUACAACUUUCGCAGCUACAGACGUUCGAACCGAGGACUACAAUCUUCGACGACUUACCUAUUCAGAAUUAGUUGUACCAUCUGUUGUUGAGCCUUGGAGUUCUGUUGUCGCGAGGCGGAGCUGGUGUGCGACAGAGAGAGAGACAGAAGUACAUGAAUCCCUACUAGAUGGCAGAACGGGUGAAAGUGUAUACUAGGAUUAAGAACAUUUACAUAAUUGAUAGAAAUAAGAAAUUAUUGAGUCGUACCCCUCUGACAAACGGUACAGUAGGCCCUUGCCUUGCGUUCCGUAACGUCAAAAUGACGGAUGACAGCAAAAAUGUUUUUGAAGUUACAAGUAUAUCUUGCAGUACCCACGGACGCCAUGCGUCAGAUAAUGUAUUUCAGCGUCGCGACGCCUGAUUAGGGCAUCGCUUCUCGGCCUUUUGGCUAAGAUCAAAGUGUAGUAUCUGUUCUUAUCAGCUUAAUAUCUGAUACGUCCUGCAUCGCAGGACCAGAAUAUUAAACUGAUUUUUGGAAAAUGACGGAGUGCUAGGAGCUUGCUCCACCUCUGUCACGGGUUGGCCCGGUAUUGCAGUACCUCCGGGAUCGGCCCACCAUAAACUACUCAUUAUUAGGUUUAUAUUUAUCUGUCAUUAUCGUUAAUCAACGUUACUGUACUUUACGGGGAUUCUCUUUUCCGCUAAUUGCAUAUGGGACGUAUAGUAAUUACGUGUACACGUAAUAAAGCUCAUUAACCCCGUAUUCAGCGCGUGUUACAACCGUUUACCAACGGGCCGUGGAGUUUCUUGAACUAUUUUUGUUUUGCGAUGUUUCUCCCGCUACAUGGUGAAAAUUCUAACUGGUUAGUAUGGUAAUCAAAUGUACACGUAAUAAAGCCCUGUAACUCGUGAUUAAACUCAUAAUAAGAUAUCAUUUAGGUAUUACAACAGUUUUGACGUUUCUUGGUGUUCGUUGAAAUAUUUUCGUUUUACGGGCGCAGGGGUUACUCGUUCUCCUAUCAGCUUAAUAUCUGAUACGUCUUGCAUCGCAGCACCAGAAUAUUAAACAUAUGAAAUAGUUGUUUCACUGACACAAGUGACUGAAUGUUAUUUUCUGAGUGCCCGACGUCGUCACUCCACUCCACAUAAUCAAGAGGGCGACACCUCAGCCUCCACAUCAGUACAUUCAAGGACAGACGAGGAUAUAGAAACACCGUUUACCAACGGGUUUCUUGAACUAUUUUUGUUUUACGUGCGCUGCGAUGUUUCUUCCGCUACAUGGUGAAAAUUCUAACUGGAACGGCCACCUAGGGAGCCGACCACCGAAGGCGUAGGCGUGGAGGACGCUCCAUCGCCAGACCUGACAAAGGCAGCGGGAGUGGACCGCGCUCCUCGACAACAUCCAGAGCGCUGCCGAGCUGGACAAAGCGCUCCUCCGGCUUGAGGAAGAGAUGAAGAAUGCCGGUCAGGUCGCGGCUCCGUCAGCCGACUGCUCGCCAUCGCCCGCCGGGGCCCAACCCGACGUCCCGCAGGCGACGGCGUCACGGAUACGAUGCAGAGGCCGCCUCCCGCAUCCAAAAACUCUACCGUGGAUGCCCGCCCCGUGCCUUCCAGGAGAUAACAGAGGUUGAAUUCCCCUUCUGCCAGAUCCCGACUGAGGACCUGCAUGCGCACUUCU